GGGGGUACACGAGUGGCGAACGGGUGAGUAACACGUGAGUAACCUGCCCUUGACUUUGGGAUAACUUCAGGAAACUGGGGCUAAUACCGGAUAGGAGCUCCUGCUGCAUGGUGGGGGUUGGAAAGUUUCGGCGGUUGGGGAUGGACUCGCGGCUUAUCAGCUUGUUGGUGGGGUAGUGGCUUACCAAGGCUUUGACGGGUAGCCGGCCUGAGAGGGUGACCGGCCACAUUGGGACUGAGAUACGGCCCAG
rnacentral:rRNA from 1 species